UAAGAGAUUUUGGUUUGGCUCAGAACGAACGCUGGCGGCAUGCCUAAUACAUGCAAGUCGAACGAUCCUUUCGGGGAUAGUGGCGCACGGGUGCGUAACGCGUGGGAAUCUGCCCUUGGGUUCGGAAUAACUUCGGGAAACUGAAGCUAAUACCGGAUGAUGACGAAAGUCCAAAGAUUUAUCGCCCAGGGAUGAGCCCGCGUAGGAUUAGCUAGUUGGUGGGGUAAAGGCCUACCAAGGCGACGAUCCUUAGCUGGUCUGAGAGGAUGAUCAGCCACACUGGGACUGAGACACGGCCCAGACUCCUACGGGAGGCAGCAGUAGGGAAUAUUGGACAAUGGGCGAAAGCCUGAUCCAGCAAUGCCGCGUGAGUGAUGAAGGCCUUAGGGUUGUAAAGCUCUUUUACCCGAGAUGAUAAUGACAGUAUCGGGAGAAUAAGCUCCGGCUAACUCCGUGCCAGCAGCCGCGGUAAUACGGAGGGAGCUAGCGUUGUUCGGAAUUACUGGGCGUAAAGCGCACGUAGGCGGCGAUUUAAGUCAGAGGUGAAAGCCCGGGGCUCAACCCCGGAACUGCCUUUGAGACUGGAUUGCUAGAAUCUUGGAGAGGCGAGUGGAAUUCCGAGUGUAGAGGUGAAAUUCGUAGAUAUUCGGAAGAACACCAGUGGCGAAGGCGGCUCGCUGGACAAGUAUGACCGCCGUAGGUGCGAAAAGGCC
rnacentral:rRNA from 1 species